rnacentral:rRNA from 1 species
GACGUACCGUCCGAAAGUUAUUCGGAAUCACUGGGCUUAAAGGGUGCGUAGGCGGCGAGGAUAGUUGGGUGUGAAAUCCCUCGGCUCAACCGAGGAACUGCGCCCAAAACUACCGUGCUAGAGGGAGAUAGAGGUGAGCGGAACUUAGGGUGGAGCGGUGAAAUGCGUUGAUAUCCUAAGGAACACCGGUGGCGAAAGCGGCUCACUGGCUCUCUUCUGACGCUGAGGCACGAAAGCUAGUGUAACGAACGGG